GCAUGUCUCAGAGUCUGUGUUUGUGUGCGUCUGACAGGUUUCAGUAAGCUGGCCAGCGUGCCGUCCGGUGGUGCUGGUGCUGCAUCCAGUGCUGUUGCCCCGUCUGCUGGAGGAUCUGCUGCCGCCCCUGCAGCGGAGGAGAAGAAAGAAGAGAAGAAAGAGGAGUCUGAAGAAUCCGAAGAUGACAUGGGUUUCGGACUCUUUGACUAAUCUGUCUCCUCGGGACCAAAAUAAAGUUUAUUACAAAAUGA